UCUGGUGUUCCCACGCUCUGUCCUCUCUCUUCCACCUUGCCGCAUAACUCGGCUCCAUGGCCUUCUCCUUUCAAGCUGCUGCACUGCUACUCCUUCCCGCAUCUGACGGUGCCGAGCUGAUGGGCAAGCUACAGCCAGCUGCUACCGGAGCUUCAACCACUGGUGGCGGAGCUGCAACUCGCGGGGGCCGUCGGUGCUGGAGCCAGAUGGUGGCGAGCUUGAACGGGCGCCCCGUUUUGCUGCAACCGGACAUCCUAGAGCUGGAACCGUUGCCCUCCGCUGCCUCAACCGGAGAAAGUCUUCACGUCGUGGAGACGGACGAGUGGGCUGUGAGAUUUUUGCUGGAACCACUACUGAGAUUUGCUGGAACCGCCAAAUCAUUUUGCUUCAACCAAGUACUCGAGGUUUUUGUGGUGGCAGUCAUGGCGAGCGGAGGCAGCCGAGGCGAGCGCGGUGGCAUGUGUGGCCGGCGAUGACAGCGCUACCAUGGCUGCAACGGCGACGACGGAAAAGCUGCUACUAGCGACUUGUUUUUUGCUGCGAGUAGGAAAUCUCUACCAGCGGGGAUGGAGAGCUGAUGUGAACGGGACUGCCGGAGGGUUGCGACGGCGGAGAUGGUGGCCGGCGAUGCUGGAAGACGGAGACACUUGCAGCCGGCGCAAUAGUUGAUGCGUGCGGGCUGCAUCUGGUCCGCGAUCCUCUUUUGUCGGGGGUACCUGAACUUCUGAAGACCAGCGUGUGGACGAUGACAGCGUUAACUGCUGACGAGGAUGAGGACAGACAACGCGCGCCUGAUAGCUGGCCCCUUCCUGCAUGAUUCGACAUGCACACAUUUGGUCUACAUCACAAGUUAAGUUAAGGGUUAGGGUUUGUCUAGGCCUCAUCCAGGAACGAUCGCUUACAAUCAUCCUGAUAAUGGUCAGGCCCAGGUCCUUCUGUUUUUCUUUCUCUUCUAUAGAGAUUAUUUUUCUGGGUUUCUGAGUUUUUAAAAACAAUUCUGUUUUCUGUACUAGAAUUUGUUUUUCUAAAAUAUUGUGCACAAAUUUCAAACACACCGAACAUUUUUUUAA